CUUGUUUUUUAAAUCCAUCUCUCUCCUCUCCUGCUCCUGGCAGAGUCACCUGAUGCAGGGGGUGGAGGAGCUUGUUGGGUGUUCAGCUCCUGGCCUGCCUCGGAGCUUGGUCUUUGCAAGGACAGCAGGGUAGAAGUGAGUUCUCCUUUUGCUAGGCAUGGUGCCUGGUCCCUUCACACUUGAAAGACCCCCAAAGGUGGUGUCUCAUCCACACGUCCGACCCCUUUGGACCAUCCCAGGGAGCAGCAAGGCACCGCUCUGCUGGC
ensembl:lncRNA